rnacentral:rRNA from 1 species
ACGGGAGGCAGCAGUGGGGAAUAUUGCACAAUGGGGGAAACCCUGAUGCAGCGACGCCGCGUGAGUGAAGAAGUAUUUCGGUACGUAAAGCUCUAUCAGCAGGGAAGAUAAUGACGGUACCUGACUAAGAAGCCCCGGCUAACUACGUGCCAGCAGCCGCGGUAAUACGUAGGGGGCAAGCGUUAUCCGGAUUUACUGGGUGUAAAGGGAGCGCAGACGGCCAUGCAAGUCUGAAGUGAAAUCCACGGGCUCAACCCGUGAACUGCUUUGGAAACUGUAAGGCUAGAGUGCAGGAGAGGUAAGUGGAAUUCCUAGUGUAGCGGUGAAAUGCGUAGAUAUUAGGAGGAACACCAGUGGCGAAGGCGGCUUACUGGACUGUAACUGACGUUGAGGCUCGAAAGCGUGGGGAGCAAACAGGAUUAGAUACCCUGGUA